UCAGGGCACGGAGUGACGGCGAGCGAGAAGGGGAAGAUAAGUUUCUCCUCGUGGAGGUAUUCACAGGUAUUUUCAACUGGAGAGCAGAGGGAAAAACAUCAUUUCGGUAACUUGUAGACUGUGUUCCGGUUCAAAAAUACUUUCUACGGCGAACAACAGCAACAGCAAUCUGCUGAAGCACCUGGAGAAGCGACAGUUAGCAGCUAAGGUGGCUAACGCAGCAGCAUCCGAGACCGAGCGUCACGGCGGCAAGCACACACGCCCACUCCACCCAAGCAGCAGCAGUUGGAGUUCGAAAUAGGGACCCAUAGCCAGGAACAACUUGACAAUAGCACGAUAUGUAGUGGAAAACAUGCUACCCAUCUCCACAGUGGAGGACCCUGCUUUCAGACAGAUCAUCAGCAUGGUGCUGUGCACAGAUCUGUCACCUGAUGUCUGAUGGUGACGUGCCUUAUCAGCUGUGAUCUUCCUGUCACAUUUUACGUGUCAACCACGCCUCCUGCUGUCAGGUCACUCCCCCAGGACGACGCUCCAGGUGUGUAACAGUAUGUACGCUCCUUCAUCCCGGUUAAUUUUCAUAUGCACGUUUCCCUAUUUCCACUGCCUCCAUGAUCCAUCGUUGGUAUCAGUUUUCUACUGCGCGAGUCACUCUGGCCUCUUCCCAAUUCAUUAUGGGAUUUUAAGUUUUCCUGGUAUGCUUUUUUCUUUUUCUUAUAUGCCUCUUUUCUCUUUCUUUUUUUGCAUUCUUUCUGAAAUUCUUUUUUGCGAGUGUUGAAACAUCUUUCUGUUUCACCGAUGUCAACAUUAUUGCAAGAACACCAAGGGAUUUCAUAGAUGAUAUUGCAUUUAUUGUCUGGUUGUACCUUGUCCGUGUGGUGUACUAGUCGCUGUCAGAGAUUUGGGUUGAUGUGGUAUUUUUUUCAUGGCUUGUUGGAUGCGUUCUGUGAUACCUUUUAACGUAUGGCAGUGUGACGAAACCCCGGUUUGUUUUGCUUGUGUUUAUCCUUUUCUGUUUGUUAUUUUCCGUUGUUUAUGUUUAUGCUGUUUCUGCGGUCAUAUAGUGUUCUGAUAACUGAACGUUUCUGUGCAAUGGAAUGUUCGUGAAAUUUGGGAACAUUGCCUUCCUCUGUAUAGUAUAUUUUUAAGUCCAGAAAUGCUAUUGUAUUUUCCGUUUCCUCUUUGUGCGUGAAUUUGAUGUUUCCUGUUUAAGUGAUCCGUGAGUUGUUGUGUCUAUCUUGGUUAUUUGAUUCCGUUUACAAAGGGUGGGUUUGUGGUCCGUUGCUGUUUGCAUGGCUUUGGUCUCCAGAAUCUCCAUAAAAAAAUCCGCACAUAGUCACGGACACGUGGUCUCCCAUUGUAGAUUGUGUCUCUGAAUUGAAAAUGUCUUGCCAUCA